AAAGCAAGAUGGUCAACCCUAAACCAAAGUUAGCUGAAACCUCCUAUAACCAGCAGGCACAACUACCACCCAAAGAUGGUACGACUGGAUGAUCCAUUGGAAAGACACAUCCCUGUCCAGGCUAAUGGGAGAAGCAGAUGCCCACAUAAGAGAUGCGUGUGGAUACAUCCAACAGCCACAUCUCAACACAUGCAUAGCUGCAGGCAGCAGCUCAGAACCAGCAGGUGACAGGCAGGCCAGAGCCAUCCAGGCUACCAUUCCCAGGAGGGCUACAACACUGUGCGAUGACCCUGGCUCCAGCCUGGAUGCUCUGAUCCGUUUGGAAGGGACAAGAUCAGCUAUGUGAUGCUAAAUGUUAGUGAUCCUUCAAGCAUUUAAGUAAAUUAUGAUGGAUUUAACUACAAAAUUGUUCUUGACAACAUUGUUUCUAAUACCUGAGAACCAGAUGCAAUCCAAAUAGCAAAUGCAAGACUAAAUAAAAUAUAAAACAUCCAUAUAAUAAAACACUGUCAAUAUAAAUUUUGGCCAAUCUGUG
rnacentral:lncRNA from 10 species